UGUAGUUUGGGAGAGUCAUUGUAUACGGACAGCAAUCAAUUGGAGAACAUGAAAGUUUUUGAAUUUUUAUUAUAAUCGACGAAAUAUACAGACAAUUUAAAAGCGAUAGUUGUGGACGAAGCCCAAUCUUGUUACUGAAUGGUGAGUGAGUGAUACUGAUAUAUUUGGUUGUUUCUCAAUAUUCUUUCUUUGCUAUAUUAAUGGUUAUCUGCAAGACUGUACACAUACAGACAACAUAUAUUCUGUUUAAUACGUCCGGUCUAAACGCUGCAUUUUACAUGUGCCAAGUCUAGAAAAGUUUGUUCAACCUUUUAAGUGCUACCAAAUUAUUUUACUCAGUUUAACAUGCCAGAUGAUUGAGUGUACUGGCCAGUGUGAGAGUGCUACUGCUCAAUGGGUUAAUCAGAUUAUCUAUUGUACUUUACUAUCUUACUGUCUAAUGUCAGACAAUUUUGCUCAUCAAGGGGAGAGUGGGUAUAAUUGCAAAGUAAUUACUUUGCCACUUUGGACAAAUGUAUAAGUUACAUAUGUUUACUACGCACCGGUAUGUACAUAAAUUCAACAUUUAAAUCAAAAUGUCAAACUUUAUUAUUUGAGUCAAACUUUAUUAUUUGAGUCAAACCAUGUAAAUUCACAUUAGACUUGGCACAUGUAAAUGCAAAUAUUAUGUGCAUCCCCCUCGCCCCUACACCCCCCCCCCUCGCCCCUCCCCCACCUUAAUCUUGGUAUCCCCAGAUAACGAUUGUUUGUAGGAUAUACAACUACCUGUAAGGUAUCAUGUGUGACUGCAUACUACAAGCUAGUAUCAUAUUGUACAGUUUAAUACAUAUAUAUGACUUGAAAUAUGUAUUUUCUUGCCAUGCCAUAUUCAAUCAUAAAAUUAUCCAUGUUGCUGUUAAAUUAUGAUUGGCCUAAAAUUUUUGGCUAAAGAUUGUUUUAAUUUAUAAACAUUGUACUACUACUUUAGGAAGGAUUUCAGGCCUUGCUAUGAAAGGAUUGGUAUGUCGGGAAGUUUGUUUCUUCAUCAACUCAGAGAAAGAAAUUGCAUGAACUCAGAGAAAGAAAUUUCAUCAACUCAGAGAAAGAGAGAAAUUACAUGAACAAAAUAAACAAUUUUGUGUCAUUGAUAUAAAUAAU